GACGAACGCUGGCGGCGUGCCUAAUACAUGCAAGUCGAACGCUGAAGGAUGAGCUUGCUCUUCUGGAUGAGUUGCGAACGGGUGAGUAACGCGUAGGUAACCUGCCUGGUAGCGGGGGAUAACUAUUGGAAACGAUAGCUAAUACCGCAUAACAGUAGAUGUUGCAUGACAUUUACUUAAAAGGUGCAAUUGCAUCACUACCAGAUGGACCUGCGUUGUAUUAGCUAGUUGGUGGGGUAACGGCUCACCAAGGCGACGAUACAUAGCCGACCGGAGAGGGUGGUAGGCCACACUGGGACUGAGACAAGGCCCAGACACCUACGGGAGGGAACAGUAGGGAAUCUUCGGCAAUGGACGGAAGUCUGACCGAGCAACGCCGCGUGAGUGAAGAAGGGUUUCGGAUCGUAAAGCUCGGUUGUAAGAGAAGAACGAGUGUGAGAGUGGAAAGUUCACACUGUGACGGUAUCUGACCAGAAAGGGAAGGCUAACUACGUG
rnacentral:rRNA from 1 species